rnacentral:lncRNA from 1 species
AUUUUUUCAAAAUGCUUCUUUGAUUUUUCUUUUUCCCUCCUAUGUCAUAUCCAUGCUUCACAUGCUUAUUUUUUAUUUUUUAUUCAACUUGCGAAAUUCAUAUUAAAUUGAAAAAUGAUCCAAAAAAUAUGAGGAUUUUUGCAUUAGGUCACAUUUUGUGUCUAGCAUUUUAUGGACAUUUUUCCCUAAAUUGUGCUUGGCUGGAUUUUGUUUUGCCCUAGGGUUCUUGUACAUGUAUCAUGUUUUGACCUUGCCUUGCUUCUUCAUUUGUGAAAUGCUCAAUUUUAAUCCAAUGCUCAUGAAAUUUUACAUGUAGAAACUAGACAUCUUGCUUGAAAUUUUGGUGUUGAGUUUGCAUUUUU